CACGUAGGGCGCAAGCGUUGUCCGGAAUUAUUGGGCGUAAAGAGCUCGUAGGUGGUUUGUUACGUCUGCUGUGAAAACCUAGGGCUUAACCCUGGGCUUGCAGUGGAUACGGGCAGACUAGAGGUAGGUAGGGGAGACUGGAAUUCCUGGUGUAGCGGUGGAAUGCGCAGAUAUCAGGAGGAACACCGAUGGCGAAGGCAGGUCUUUGGGCCAUUACUGACACUGAGAAGCGAAAGCAUGGGGAGCGAACAGG
rnacentral:rRNA from 1 species